UUGGGGGUUGGGACUAAAAGGGACGGUGCCUGGGGGAGAAAACACAGUUCCUUCUCUUGCGAUAACAAUGGCGAGGUAUGGUUUGGACGGGAAAGAGAUCAUCAGUCCACAGACGAUAUAUCCAUGGUGGGUGGAGGAGGGCUUAUUGGAUCCGAGCUAUGCGGGAAGCUCUUGGGAAAAGCUUCCCGCAUGGUCAUCGUCAUUAACGUUUCGGAUGGAAAGAUAAUGUAUCUCUUUGAUGGUUCUUGCUCAUGAGAUGUGAACGAAUCGAGUUUCACAUGAUUAACAUCAAGCACGAUCCUCUCGCUUGGAGGCCCAUCAGCAAGAAGUCCGAUCUGGGUUUACAGCUGAUCUAUUGGGGUUUAGUGUCGGACGAUCAAUCUUGCUGCCAUUCGCAGACCUACUGAUUUCAAUACCUGAUCGCUGGACACGACAUUUUUUUAGGGUUUACAGCUGAUCUGUUGGGGGUUUAAUGUCAGACGAUCAAUCUUGCUGCAAUUCGCAGACCUGCUGAUUCAAUACACGAUCGGUGGACACGACAUAGCAACUUCGUGGAUAAAAUUUCGGUGGUGGAUUUACCUAAUUAAAUUGUUAUUUAUUCAGAGGAAAAUUUUAUUUUCCACAUUUUACUCUAAGAAUCUCGCUUUAUUUCGUUUUUUUAGAUUAAAUACUGCAUGGAGAAUAGGUUUGAUUCAUUUUCUACAUGUGAAAUCUACGGAAAGACACUCGGAAGCUUCCUUUCAAAUAAUGAUGCUCUGCGACAGGUACCUGUUCGCCCCCUUAUUUCUCCCUUACUUUCUUCUACUUCCCGCUUUUCAUUUGUGCACUCUUUUUCUUGUAUUGAUUAGAUUCUCUGCCAUUGAAUCAACUUAAAUGAACAGUUUGGUUUGGCUCCUCUAGAAUCUACCGGGUCUCUCAUAUUUUCCUGCUAUUUUUGCUGCAAUCCGUCUAUUAAUAUAUAACUCUAGUUCCUUAGGUUGUGUUUGGAACGAAAUAAAAGAAAAGAAAAGAAAAGAAGAGAUUUUUUUUUUUUUCCUUAUAGGGAUGUGUUUAUUUGUCUAGAAUUGUAUAGAAAAGAUGUUGGAAAUAUUCAUCAAUAAAUGGAGUAGCCUAUUCCCUUCCCCUUCUAAGCAGGACUUCCAACUUUUUCUCCUUAAAGAAGACAUUUCCCCUUGCGCUAAUAUGGUGCAAUGGAAAACAGGGGCAGUCCAAUGCCUGUGCAAAGCAAAUGAUUGAAAAGCUUAUAUUUGGUGAGCUGAUUCUUGUAAACUACAUAUUCGUUUUAGUUUGUAUUUCUUAAAACCAUCACCCUGAGAAGUUAUUAGACCUUAAACCAAAAUUUUAGCUGAGGGUGCCAAAAAUGUCAUUAAGUUCACCCUUCUGAGACCUUUCUACUGGAUUGGUCUGAGGAUGUAUUUUAUUCCUGGUGUAGAAGGCCUAAGCAAAGGAGUCCCUUGGGUUCUGGCAUGCUUCAGCAAUGUAAAAAAUGCAUCUUCUUAAUGGAAUCACCGAGUUGCAUCUUGUAAUCCAUGAAAUGUGACUUCAAAACAAUACUUCCAUCUUUAUUUCAGAACCUUCUCCGCGGUGAGCCACUCGAGCUUGCGGAUGUUGGACAGUCAUAGAGAUUGGGCUACUCAUGAUUGUAACUAGUCAGCCCUACGAAUAGCCACAAAAGCUAAUAAUCCCAAAUUUGGAAAAUUUCAGAAAAUCUUAGCCGUGCAAAAGGGCAAAUUUUUAGUGUAGGAAAUUCCGACAAUGAAGUGACUAUGAAGCAACUUGCAGAGACGAUGAUGCAGGUACCUCUUGAAUUGCGUAAUAUUCUCUCAUUGCCUUGUUGAUAUAUUUGUAAUUGGAUGAGAGGGGGGGGGGGAGAUUCUUUCAUUUGGCCUAUAAUUUUAUACAAAUAAGGCUUUUUUCAUGACCUGUGAGCCUGCAAUGGAUCUAUCAACAGUUGAUGCGAGCUCAAAGGAUUUCUGUGAUGAAGGGUAUGAUGACCAUUCCUGAUAUGAAAAUUAUCAACAUGCUGAUUGGAAAUAUUGGUUUUAUUCUUUCACUUUUCAUGAUUCUGACUGGAAAUAGAUCGAAAUAAAUGCUUACUAAUGUUUAUAAUCUACCAAAGGUUGGAACCCAAGGAAAUCUCCGCCGGACCUUCUAGAAACUACUUUUGUAUAUGAGCACCAGACUUACUUACAGUCAAUCAAGAAGGUCCUGUCAAGAGCAGCCUUUUAAGCAAUUUAUAUUCCACGUGACCCAACUGAUUCUACUUUUGUACACAUACUACUGUGUUUGGAGAAGCAUCUCUCACAAACAAUUACAGUUCUCA